UUGUUUCUUUCAUUCUUUUGUGGAUGAUCUUCAUAUACUUGUAAUUUUUCUAUCGCAAAAAAGAAGAAGCUGCCGUCGAGUGCGCACGUGUUUGCAAAGUGAUUGUGAAAUAUGAAAACUUGGAAAAAUAUUACUUUUACAUCGUGAGCCGUCAAAUAUAUGAUUUAUGUAUGUAUUAAUACGUAAAAAUGCGUGGCUCGACUUUAUAUUGAAAUUGUGGAUGCACACGCAAAACCAAGCCGACGCCUUUGGAAUAGAGAAAACCGAUACAAGACGAGACAACGCACUGGGGGGAAUAUAUACUAUUUAUAGAUUUAAAUAUAAAUAUUUUCAUUAUGUUAUUAUUUAUAUAUCACAUUUGUCUAAGCAAAUAUAUAUGCAUUUUCAAUAUUUAUUGUGUUUUAAUGUACGUUGCUUAUCCACUCCAAAGCAAUGCCUUUUGGAAGCAUUAUGUUCGUAGCGAACGCCGCAGGCCUGCUCUACUGCCUUCUACAAGAAGGCCUUCUGCAACGUUGUUCUUGGAAAUGGGCGUUGGAAAGGGAAAUGGGCGUUAACAGAGCCAUAACAGAAGCCCUGCCAAACUACCUUGCAAUGCUACCCUUCUUUCAGCGUUUCACCCCUGUAUAAUAGCGAAUGGAAAACGUCAGGUUUAGCAACUGCUCUUACGUUACUUAAGAUGUGGUUUGAAGUUACUUUCGAUAGGAGCCAAGUUUUAUUGGGUGC